rnacentral:rRNA from 1 species
AGAACGAACGCUGGCGGCAGGCCUAACACAUGCAAGUCGAACGCCGUAGCAAUACGGAGUGGCAGACGGGUGAGUAACGCGUGGGAACAUACCCUUCGGUUCGGAAUAACUCAGGGGAAACUUGAGCUAAUACCGGAUACGUCCGAGGUUUUAAUCGACCUUGGAGAAAGAUUUAUCGCCGGAGGAUUGGCCCGCGUCUGAUUAGCUUGUUGGUGAGGUAAUGGCUCACCAAGGCGACGAUCAGUAGCUGGUCUGAGAGGAUGAUCAGCCACAUUGGGACUGAGACACGGCCCAAACUCCUACGGGAGGCAGCAGUGGGGAAUAUUGGACAAUGGGCGAAAGCCUGAUCCAGCCAUGCCGCGUGAGUGAUGAAGCCUUAGGGUGUAAAGCUCUUUACCGGGAAGAUAAUGACGGUACCGGGAGAAUAAGCCCCGGCUAACUCGUGCCAGCAGCCGC